rnacentral:sRNA from 1 species
AUCUUGGUGGUAGUAGCAAAUACUCCAGCGAGGCC